rnacentral:rRNA from 1 species
AAUAUUGUACAAUGGGGGCAACCCUGAUCCAGCCAGGCCGCGUGUGUGAAGAAGGUCUUCGGAUUGUAACGCACUUUAAGUUGGGAGGAAGGGCUUUAGGUUAAUACGCUGCAAUUUUGACGUUACCAACAGACACAGCACCUGAUAACUUCGUUCCAGCAGCCGCGGUAAUACGCAGGGGGCAAGCGUUAAGCGGAAUUACUGGGCAUAAAGCGCGCGUAGGUGGUUCAGUAAGAUGGGUGUGAAAUCCCCGGGCUUAACCUGGGAACUGCUUUCAUAACUGCUGAGCUAGAGUACGGUAGAGGGUAGUGGAAUUUCCUGUGUAGCGGUGAAAUGCGUAGAUAUAGGAAGGAACACCAGUGGCGAAGGCGACUACCUGGACUGAUACUGACACUGAGGUGCGAAAGCGUGGGGAGCAAAC